rnacentral:misc_RNA from 1 species
UUUUAGGGAGACCUACACCCCUCAAAUCUUGAAAGCAAAAUGCAAAUAGAGAUUGAGUUGGUCUAUCCUAGGUCGGUCGAGAUUAGUUUCAAGCUUUCAAAGUAUUACUACUCCGGUGAAUCGCCUAAUUAUAGAUAACUUGGAAAAAAGCCAGCAAAGUGGUGAGAACCAGACUGCUGGGUUAGUUUCCAGCCAGAACCUUGAAAACUGCAUAGUAACGCGAAAAAUAGCAGGCAGACACAGACAUCGAAAAGAUGAAAGUGAAAGCAGGUGAAAACCAAUGAAAUUGU